rnacentral:rRNA from 1 species
GCGGGGGGUGCAAGCGUUGUUCGGAAUUAUUGGGCGUCCCGCCCGUGUCGUCUGCUUGUCCAGUCACACGUGAAAGCCCUGGGCUUAACCCAGGAAGUGCAUUUGAAACUGGCAGGCUUGAGUAGGGGAGAGGGAAGUGGAAUUCCUGGUGUAGAGGUGAAAUUCGUAGAUAUCAGGGGGAGGGGGUGGAGCGAGGUACGGGUCGGGGAGAGAGGGGGGGGAGGAGAAGAGAGAGAGGGGGGAGGAAAGAG